CGGGCUCUGGCUGCCCUCCCGGACCUGUCGGAGAUGGGCCCGUGCGGCUCCGGGUGUGGGACGUGCCCCAGGAGCGCCCGGGGUUAUUCCCACGGACUCCCGGGAGGUGAGUGUGUGCCCUUCGCCCCCUGCCGGGUCUGUGGGGCUCCGUCGUUGCCAGAGACUGGAGGUCGGGGGUCACGGGAGCCCCGGGGCGCAUGGCGCAGGCCUGGGCCUUGUGGAAAGCAGGAGUGACCGCCUGAUGGUGCAGCAGGACCUCCUCCUGACCUGGUAGUACUUAGGUGGGAAGGAUGCUGGGACAGUUUGCGCAGCUCAGGGAACACUGGCCGGACUGCUCCGCAAUCGUUUACAGUGUUAUUUCUCGGGGAGACAUUUUGCUUGUUGUAUGGCAUUUCCGGACCCAUAAGAUUAUAUUGUCGGUAGUAGUUGGGACUGGAAAACUUAAUGUCGAAAUUAAGGGGCAGAGUUUAUGGUCACAUUAAUAGACUCCCCUGGAGUUUGAUAAUCUCACUUGUGAGUUUUGCACAUGGAUUACUUUUAGGUAUUGAUAUUCAAAUUCAAAUGUCCUUUCCAGACCCAGGCCUAAAUUCUUACUGUUCUAGUAUCUUGAUAUCCACUCUGUUUUCUGACAUCUUUUUUUUUUUUUUUGAGACGGAGUCUUGCUCUGUCACCCAGGCUGGAGUGCAGUGUGGCAAGAUCUCGGCUCACUGCAACCUGCCUCCCUGGUUCAAGCGAUUCUUCUGCCACAGCCUCCCAAGUACCUGGGACUACAGAUACAGGAUUUUGCCACGUUAG
rnacentral:lncRNA from 13 species